UUUAUUGUUUAGUGAGAAUGAUAUUUGUUCUUUAACAAUGUGGUAAAAAGUAUAAGUAAAGAUUCCUUGAUUAAUUUAGGGUUAUUUUUAGUUUAGGUUGAGGUGUAUCUUUAUAUGUCUGGAUUGAUGAUUAGAAAUAAUUUUAGUUUAUUUAAUUAACGAGUCUUGGUAAUUUUUGAAAACCGGUGUUGAGAUAUAAUUUCGAUUGGUUUUAGUUAAUAGAUUAUAGAUUUAUUGAUAUAAGACUUUUUGGGGUGAUAUGAUCAAGUGAAUAAGUGCAU
rnacentral:misc_RNA from 1 species